UCUCUGGGGAGGGUCUGUCUCUGCUGGGUUUUGUUACAGAGACUUUGGUCCCUGGGAAAAUGGAAAAGGAAGAUCAUAUAUCUUGCCCGGGUUUUGUUUUCUCUGGAUGAAGUCUGAGCUAUCCGACAGCAGGUCCUGUGACUGGGGCCCUUGGCCAGUUCCCAGGGAUAAAGUUUCCCAGCAGAAGCAUGGCACCUGUGGAUGCAGCAGCAGCUCCCGGAAACUGCGGGGGUUCACACCUUGUCCUGCCAUCAAGGUGGACCUGAAGCAACGCUUUGUCCUGGACCUGGGCGAGAACUCAAUCCCACCCUCACUGAGCAACUCAUCAGGCCUCCAGGGGCCUCUUCAGCGGCCAUGAGUAAAGUAGCCACAGCCAUGGUGAGGACGACUCUCUGAUACAUGGAGAAUGGUACUAGUCCCAGCCCCAAGAAUGCUCAGCGCCCGUGACUUGUUGAUGGGCCCCUUCAUCCCAGGGCUGUCCUGAAGCUGGCGUGUGCCACUCCAUGAGAGCCAGCUAUAGAAUGUGUUGGAAAUUUGUGAGCUGGUCAUGAAAGGCAAGUGUGAAUAACAAUCGAAGAACUUGUAAUGAAAUGUUAUAUUAAAACAAAAAAACCACCUCCUAAUUAUUUUACUACGCUUUGCUAUUUUCUGUGCUUGCGGGUUUUUUAUAUCUACACAGCAGAAACACUACUUUAAUAAUGGCUCCUGGCUGUCUCUUCCCAGUGGCACAAUCUGUGAUGUCGUGUUGGUGGCCCGGAAUAGGCUAGGAUGGGAAUAAAGUUGUUAGGGGUUCUGACUUGGUUGGAGGGGUGGUUCUGCCACAGAUAUCAGAGCUUUUCUCUAGUUUAGCCAGGACAGAGCUGAUCUGGAGUUGCCAGACAGAUGACAGGCCACCCUCCAGAGUGCUGGCAGGUUGUAUGUGGUGAGCAAGCGGUGGCGUGGGUGUGCAGUGGGAAUCUGAGCACCCACUGGGGCAGAAAGCCCUCAGAGUGCCUGGGUCGCAGGGGCUGGGGUGGGGAGGCUGCUGAGGGUCUGUCACUCUGGAUGGGUCCCUCUGCUUCUUCUUCCUCCUUUGUUCCCCUUCCCCCUUAGGCGGGUCUUGGUGGGGGUGGGGCUGGUUUCUGUGUUCAGAGGGGUGUAGACAGGCAUCACCAAGAAAGGUCGCUGUCCCUCUGUGAGGGUGCUGGUGCUCCGAGACCCCACCAGAUGUCCUUACACCCACAGGGGACACGCCCUCCAACGACCUUGGAAAUGGCGGGAAGCCAGGUCCUCUUGCAGUGAGACUCCAGUGCCUUCUACUGAAAUAGGCUAUCUGGAUGCCUUCUUUGGAAAAGUGUCUAUGUCU